rnacentral:lncRNA from 1 species
UUUUUUUUUGAAUUUUUUGGGAAUAAUUCAUAUAUACAGGGCAAAAAUCACGUGCUCAAAGCUGCCCCUCUUUGCUCGGAAACAUGAAAGUUUUCGGGCAAAGAUAAGUGGGCAAAUACGAGUGAUUUUUGCCCGUUUGAAAAUUCCAUGUGAAGCAUUUUUUGGAAAAAAAAUUGACCGCACCCUGCUUCAGAGGUUGCCUACAUAUCAUGGGCUAAACAGGAAUCAGGUCAGUGUAGUUUGGGAGUGUCUUGGUAGCUGAGACUACCAGGAGAUGUGAUUUCACUGCGCUUGCUACUGCUACUGCUUGCUGACCUCCCUUAUUACAUCGUGUUAAAAUAAAAGAAGCUAAUGGAGUACAGAGGUUGAGAGUCGAGGUUCUGUAUGAGGCUUCGGUCUGCUAUCCCGUUAUUACAUCAAAAUUGAAAAAGACUAACUAAGCCUAUCAGCUACGAGUACAAGAUUCCUAUCUAUGAGUCUUCUGAAGCUUGAUUUUGAGUCUUGGUUGGUGCUUUAUGCGGACCAUGAUUUGAAUCUUAAUGCUUGUUAGCCGCAGGUGUUGGUUCAAUCUUCUUCAGCUUUUGGAUCAAGACCGGACAUGUAGUGCUCAUGACUUCAACCCCGUCUUGAGCAGUUCACAUAUUUUUCCUCUUCUGAAUUUAGAGCUCACGUUUUUUAUUCAUUUUCUUCUUUUCUUUAUUUUAGAUUGAGACUCAUUCUUUCUGCCAUCUCGAAUCGUCUGCCUCGAGGUCAAACCUGCUCGGCAUCUUAAACCAUUUUCUCUUGAAACUUGAAUUGUCUUCCUUCAAAACUGCUUCUCUUGAAACUUGAGUUGUCUUCCGCCGACACUACUUUAUGACGAUCCAGCCUAUCAUCUUGGAAUUUAUGCCCUGUUCCCCUAUUAAAUGUUUCCCCUAAUUCCAUUUCUGCUAUUUUGGCUUGUCGGGAUGUUCGGUAAUAGAAUUCGGAGUGUUUUGGAACACUUUGUCCCUAAAUGAGAGCUUAAGUGUUGAAAAAUGAUCCGUAAUUAGACCGGUGUCAACAUGACCUCGGAAUAGAAAAUAGAUGAUUCUGUUAUCUCUGUGAGGUGAAUUCGGGAUUGGGAGCGUGUUCGGAAUAUAUUUUAGAUGUCCGUAGCUUAUUUAGUCUAUAAAUGUCAAAGUUAGAAUUUUGAAGUUGCCUGUGCGAUAGUGGAAUUUUGAUCCGGGGGUCGGAACGGGAUUCUAGAAAUUGAUGUAGCACCGUCAUGUCAUGGGCGUGCAUGUAAAAGUUUGGGUCAAUCGGACGUGUUUUUGUUAGGUUUUAAAUCGAAAGCGAGUUUGGUUAAGUUUUGAUGUUUUUAAGUUCAAAUCAUUGAUUAGUUUGCGUUUCCGGCAUUGUUAUAGGUGGUUUAAGGAUUGGUACAAGUUCGAAUGAUGUUAUGGGAUAUGUUCGUAGGUUUGGUUGAGGUCCUGGAGGCCUCGGGUGUGUUUCGGAUUCUCAACAGAGUAAUUUAGGAACUUAGAACAUAGCAGAUUUUCUGCUGCACAAGAUCCUUCUCUGCGAUCGCAUUCCAUCUCUCGCGAUCGCAUUGUGCAUUCUUGAGGGGGGGGGGGAACUUUCUUCAAUGCGAUCGCAAUGUUGUGCUUGUGAUCACAUAUCUUUUCCUUUCCCCUCUUCGCGAUCGCAUUUCCCUUUCCAUGUUCGCAUUGAGUUAACUGAGCCAGUGACUCAGGCCCAAAUUCCUUCUAUGCGAUCACGUGACACAGGUCGCAAUCGCAUAGAUCACUUGUUUCUUCUCUGCGAUCGCAGGACCACUUCUGUGUUCACAUAGACCAUUUUUCC